AACUGAGAGUCUUUAGUGCACCGUGAACAGCAGUCACCUCAGAGCAAGAGAGUCCUCGUGGCUGUCUGGGUUCUCUCCAGGAGCUCUGGCUUCAUCCCACAGUCCAGAGACAUGAUAUAAGUGAUAAGAUAAUAUAACUAAAAAAAAAAAAACAGUUUAGAACAAGUGUGAGCCUCCUUUACAACUUUAUUCACAUCCUUUAAAUGUAAGAGCUGCUGGCACGUCUGGUGAGGGUGUGCCCACACCUAAUCUAAACCACAGAGCUUUAGUCCCUCUCAUACUUGGUUGAGUAUUGACAUCAGCUGCACCGGUGCAUGCAACGUGAGGGCACUAAUGGACAGGGAGGAAAUAAUACUUGAAUUCAUUUUGAACAAAGACGUCAUGCCAAAUAUUUUUUGAUAGCUGUUUCAAUUAUGAAUACACAGACUUUGUGAUUGCUUUUUUCCUGUCAACAUGUAUUGUUCACAAAUAACCACGGGCCACAACUGAAUCAGAUAGUUCCAUCAUUUCUCUUCAUCUGCAUUUUCGAUCUGAAAGUAGAAACAACUAUAAUGAGGAGAAAUUGAAUUUUUAUAUUUAUGAACGAGGACUGUGUGGAGGAGAGCCGAGUCAGGAAACAGGUUGUUCACCUGACCGACAAGCUGGAGUCAGAACCUGUGAUUUAUCCUCCCUGACUAUUGAGUGAUGUUAUAUGCUGAUGUUAUUUUCCUGUUUUGAGCCAAACCAGAUUUCUCUAUAGGAACUCUGUGUUAAAGGGUCAAUGCACCAAAUUGGGUUUUGAUAACAGUUUAUUUCUCAUGCAAGGAAAGACACAAACUGCUCAGAGGGAUUAGUAAUGAGCACAAGUUAAAUGAGCUCAUUGCACUACGUUGGCUUUAUCAGCCCUGCACAGAACAGAUUGGUCUUAGACUCUUUGAUUCUCUUAAAUAAGUAGAAUCUGAAACUGAAGGUUUUAGAUUAAAUCUGAUUCCUAAAUCAAGAAGUAAAUCUUAAAGAACAACCUAGGUUUGUAAUUUGGAACAAAGUUGCGUUAACUAAAACUAUCUUGAACUGUGGAAGGUUAAGUGUGACCUUCUUAGCUGCAAACCUUGAACUGGUUUAGUAGCUUUUAUAUCUGUCUUACUGUGACAUAAGUGCUGAAAAGGGAUUUAUCUCUCUCCCUCUGUCUAUCUCUCAGUCCGUCUCUCUAAAAUAUUCAUUUUACUUUAUUUUCUCUAUAUAUGAUGUAGGUUUGAAUUUUCCCUGCUAAAUUGUGACGGUCUGGGAGUCUCCUACGUUCGACCUGCCUCGUGCCAAUUUAUGGGCGUCAUCAGGCCGGAAGGUGUUUCCCGUGUUGAAGCCGCCACACAUGUCUUCCGUCUAGAUUGGCCGCUACUUAAGUGUUUGACUGAGCUUCAGUCAACGCUGGAUCAUUGAGUUACCAAGAACUUGGAGAGGAGUGUGUCACAGGAGCGAAGUGUUUGUAAAUGUCGAGUGUUGGAGUUGUUUUCCUGUCACACCUGGACCACCAGCACAGUCCUGCAGGAUGGGAAAGUCCUGCAUUUGGGCCCCGUUCUCGCCACGCACCUUAACAUAAAUAAUAAACACUUUGAUUGAGAAACUGCAUUUUGUGUUUACUUUUGUAGGGUUGCCUACCGCUGCAGGAGGCUGCAUCAUGAAACCAACAUGAUGAACUGCCAGUGGGAGAAGCACUACCCUAUAGACCUCUGUAAUCCAAGUAAAAGUAGCAGUACAGCUAUAUACAAGUUAAUACGAAGGCACAGAAUCAACAAGAGCUAUGAACUAAUCUUAGAGCCGGGGCUACACUGGUGCGAGUCAUACAAGGAUCCAGCGAUGAGUAGCUUCCUUUCCUCAACUUAAGUAGUGGCAGGGAUAAUGAGGCACAGGUGUUCACUCUCCAUAGGUGCGUGGGGCGAGGGCAGGAACCACCAUGACUUCCGUCCUGGCGAGACAGAGAGCGCGAGAGAGAAAAAUAAUGACGCUGCUGAUCAUCUUCAUGCUGGUCCACCGGGCCGUGACAUUCAGUAACAUGAAUAUGGAAGUGUAAAGAGUGUGCAGCACAAGAGACUGCAAGAUCUCAGUUAUUGAAGCACUACAGGUUAAACCAUGGUCACUUUGGCCGCAGACACGCUUAUCCAUGCACAUAUUUAAAUUGUCCAUGUAGUCACCAAUGUAGAUCACAUGUUGAUCAGACAUUGCAGAGAUCAGUAGAUUCCUGGUGUGAUUGAAGACAAGCUUUUCAUUGAUGAUUUAAAAAGAGGGUGAUGAGCUAUUAUUAUUAUUAUUAUUACUACUACUACUACUACAUUGUCUUGAUUAAUCCAUUAAAAAACAAACAAAAAUAAAAACAUUUGCAAAUGGUUCAAAUCUUUCAUAAAUAUUCACGCAGAGCUGGAAAUUGUAAUUUUUAAAUUUGAUUUGUGCAGCUAAUGAAAGUCUUCUGAAGGUAAGAAGGAGAUGUGCAACAAAAAAAUUACAAAGUUUAUCUUUUUUGUUUUUUUUCCUAACAAACGUCUGUUCAUCAAUAUAUUUUUGUAUUCAGUUCAUUCUAUUAUUAUUGUGUGAAUGCUGCUGUUGCUCAAUUCCUCGUUAUUAUUCUGAAUUCUUUGUGGGAUUUUUGGGUGCUGUGACUUUUGGUGUUUGUUCCUGUUUUUCUUUCUUUAAUAACCUUUUCUCACAAGAUGUUUUACAAAGUAAAUACAUUUGGAGAAAUCUCCCUGACUGUAGUGGCGAUUCCUUUUGUUUGAACAACCAAACAUCCAAGAAUUAAAAUUCCGCAAGCCACUGCUGCACUGAGAUAAGAUCUUGUACGCAGGCAAAAGAAGUCGACUGUCCAAACUUGAA